GUGGGGAAUAUUGCGCAAUGGGGGAAACCCUGACGCAGCAAUACCGCGUGAGUGAAGAAGGUUUUCGGAUCGUAAAACUCUUUUAUUGGGGAAGAAGAAGUGACGGUACCCAAUGAAGAAGUCCCGGCUAACUACGUGCCAGCAGCCGCGGUAAUACGUAGGGGACAAGCGUUGUCCGGAAUCACUGGGCGUAAAGGGCGCGUAGGCGGUUUUAUAAGUCAGAUGUGAAAGGUACCGGCUCAACCGGUGACGUGCAUUUGAAACUGUAAGACUUGAGGACUGGAGAGGCAAGUGGAAUUCCUAGUGUAGCGGUGAAAUGCGUAGAUAUUAGGAGGAACACCGGUGGCGAAGGCGGCUUGCUGGACAGAUACUGACGCUGAGGUGCGAAAGCGUGGGGAGCGAACAGGAUUAGAAACCCGAGUAGUCC
rnacentral:rRNA from 1 species